rnacentral:tRNA from 1 species
UCCCUGGUGGCUUGGAGGGUAAAGAAUCCACCUGCAAUGUGGGAGACCCAGGUUCGAUUCCUGGGCUGGGAA